rnacentral:snRNA from 1 species
CGUGGGAGUUGUUUACUGCUUG